rnacentral:rRNA from 1 species
CGACCGGCGCACGGGUGCGUAACGCGUAUGCAACCUACCUUCUACAGGGGGAUAGUCAAUAGAAAUGUUGAAUAAUACCCCAUACGAUCUUUGAGUGGCAUUACUUAAAGAGGAAAGCUUCGGCGGUAGAAGAUGGGCAUGCGUCCUAUUAGUUAGUUGGUGAGGUAACGGCUCACCAAGACUACGAUAGGUAGGGGCCCUGAGAGGGGGAUCCCCCACACUGGUACUGAGACACGGACCAGACUCCUACGGGAGGCAGCAGUGAGGAAUAUUGGACAAUGGAGGCAACUCUGAUCCAGCCAUGCCGCGUGCAGGAAGACUGCCCUAUGGGUUGUAAACUGCUUUUAUACAGGAAGAAACCUACUUACGUGUAAGUAGCUGACGGUACUGUAAGAAUAAGGAUCGGCUAACUCCGUGCCAGCAGCCGCGGUAAUACGGAGGAUCCAAGCGUUAUCCGGAAUCAUUGGGUUUAAAGGGUCCGUAGGUGGUUUAUUCAGUCAGAGGUGAAAUCCCAUAGCUUAACUAUGGAACUGCCUUUGAUACUGAUAGACUUGAGUUAUUGUGAAGUGGUUAGAAUGUGUAGUGUAGCGGUGAAAUGCAUAGAUAUUACACAGAAUACCGAUUGCGAAGGCAGAUCACUAACAAUAUACUGACACUGAGGGACGAAAGCGUGGGUAGCGAACAGGAUUAGAUACCCUGGA